rnacentral:rRNA from 1 species
CAGCCGCCGCGGUAACACAGAGGGUGCAAGCGUUAAUCGGAAUUACUGGGCGUAAAGCGCGCGUAGGUGGUUUGUUAAGUUGGAUGUGAAAUCCCCGGGCUCAACCUGGGAACUGCAUCCAAAACUGGCAAGCUAGAGUAUGGUAGAGGGUGGUGGAAUUUCCUGUGUAGCGGUGAAAUGCGUAGAUAUAGGAAGGAACACCAGUGGCGAAGGCGACCACCUGGACUGAUACUGACACUGAGGUGCGAAAGCGUGGGGAGCAAACAGGAUUAGAUACCUCCGUAGUCCCUGUCUCUUAUCC